UACGUAGGGUGCAAGCGUUGUCCGGAAUUAUUGGGCGUAAAGAGCUCGUAGGCGGUCUGUCGCGUCUGCUGUGAAAACUCAGGGCUUAACCCUGAGCUUGCAGUGGGUACGGGCAGACUAGAGUGCGGUAGGGGAGACUGGAAUUCCUGGUGUAGCGGUGAAAUGCGCAGAUAUCAGGAGGAACACCGGUGGCGAAGGCGGGUCACUGGUCCGGUACUGACGCUGAGGUGCGAAAGCGUGGGGAGCAAACAGG
rnacentral:rRNA from 1 species